CCUACGGGAGACAGCAGUGAGGAAUAUUGGUCAAUGGACGAGAGUCUGAACCAGCCAAGUAGCGUGAAGGAUGACUGCCCUAUGGGUUGUAAACUUCUUUUAUAUGGGAAUAAAACGUUCCACGUGUGGGAUUUUGUAUGUACCAUAUGAAUAAGGAUCGGCUAACUCCGUGCCAGCAGCCGCGGUAAUACGGAGGAUCCGAGCGUUAUCCGGAUUUAUUGGGUUUAAAGGGAGCGUAGGUGGAUUGUUAAGUCAGUUGUGAAAGUUUGCGGCUCAACCGUAAAAUUGCAGUUGAAACUGGCAGUCUUGAGGACAGUAGAGGUGGGCGGAAUUGGUGGUGGAGCGGUGAAAUGCUUAGAUAUCACGAAGAACUCCGAUUGCGAAGGCAGUUCACUGGACUGCAACUGACACUGAGGCUCGAAAGUGUGGGUAUCAAACAGGAUUAGAUACCCCAGUAGUC
rnacentral:rRNA from 1 species